UCUUUCUUUGCUGGCGACCGGCGCACGGGUGAGUAACACGUAUCCAACCUGCCCUUUACUCGGGGAUAGCCUUUCGAAAGAAAGAUUAAUACCCGAUAGUAUAAUGAUUCCGCAUGGUUUCAUUAUUAAAGGAUUCCGGUAAAGGAUGGGGAUGCGUUCCAUUGGGUUGUUGGUGAGGUAACGGCUCACCAAGCCUUCGAUGGAUAGGGGUUCUGAGAGGAAGGUCCCCCACAUUGGAACUGAGACACGGUCCAA
rnacentral:rRNA from 1 species